rnacentral:ribozyme from 1 species
GUUUUUUGUACUGAGCUUGCUCAUUUUGGAAUAAAAAUUUAAUCAAGCAAACGAAAAAA